GUAGUUAGGAUUUAAAGCCUAACUAGCUAUAUGCACGUAGUCGUAACUGAAAGGUUGAUCGACCACAGUGGGCCUGAAUAAAGCCCAUGACGAUUGUCACAGCAGUGAGGAAUAUUGGUCAAUAGCCUAACGGCUGAACCAGCAACUUGGAGGAAUGUAUAGCAAUAGCUACUUGCAUCAUUGUAAUAUGAUGCAAGAUCGACUAUGUUGAAUAAAAUUCUAGGUAGAAUUAUGAUAAUGACAUUGUCUGCCUAUGUGUCUUGACCAAAUUACGUGCCAGCAGUCGCGGUAAUACGUAGAAGACUAGUGUUAUUCAUGUUUAAUCGGUUUAAAGGGUACCUAGACGGUAAAUCAAGCCUAAAAGGAAAUAAAUGAAGGGACUAAUUUACUAGAGUUACUUAUGAGGGGGUAUUAAAGUACUGCUGGUGUAGAGAUGAAAUCUGUCAUACCUCUUUUCAAUAGAAAAAUAAUGGCACAGGUAUAGGCGAAAGCAUCCCCUUAUGUGAUAACUGACGUUGAGGGACGAAGGCUUUGUGUAGCGAACAGGAUUAGAUACCCCAGUAGUCAAAGCAGAAAAUGAUGAAUGUCAUAGAUUAGAUAUAUAAGUUUAUUCUAUAAAUGAAAGUGUAAGCAUUCCACCUCAAGAGUAAUUUGGCAACAUUGGAACUGAAAUCAUUAGACCGUUUCUGAAACCGUAGUGAAGUAUGUUGUUUAAUUUGAUGAUCCGCAAAAAACCUUACCACAAUUUGAAUAUUUAUAUCUUUUAUUG
rnacentral:rRNA from 2 species